GCGGAAGUAGCUCAGUUGGUAGAGCAUUGGCUUCCCAAGCCAAGGGUCGCGGGUUCGAAUCCCGUUUUCCGCU
rnacentral:tRNA from 2 species